GAAUAAGCAAUGGCAGUGUUGGUUGUAUAUCCCAUGAAUAGGAGGGAAGAGUGGCAGAUAAAACAAAUGGAGAGAAACUUGAAGACAUGAACAUACCCAGUUCUUGAAGUUAAGUGACUUCAGAAUUCCCAAAUAUCAGCACACAGGAGGCUCAGCGCACUGCAACUCAAAACCUCUGGAGCUUGCAACCUCAGGAAAUGGAAACUUGCAGAGAAGAGGUCUGGAGGUGGGGUAGAGCACUGCCAGAUGGCUAACAGAAACAAGGGGAGAGAAAAGAAUCGUGCUGAGAAUUUCACCUACUGAGAGGAAUAGCAGAUUUUACAUGGCCACAGUUACAAUGCAAGGAGAGCAAAAUAGUUACAGAAG
rnacentral:lncRNA from 1 species